CAGAACACAACACAAUCUUCAUCAUCACACAAGACACAACAACAACAAUGAACAACAUCAUCAUUCUCAUCUGGACUCUCACACUGUUUGCUCAAGAGUGUAGAGGACAGAUCACUGUAACUCAGAGUCCAUCAAUAACAGCAGCUCAAACAGGACAAGAAGUCAGAAUAAACUGUAAAACCAGCAGCAGAGUGUAUGAUGGUGAUGAGAUACAAUGGUACUUGCAGAAACCUGGAGAAGCUCCUAAACUCCUCAUAUAUGAGACAUCAAACCGUUACACUGGAACUCCAUCUAGAUUCAGUGGCAGUGGAUCUGACACUGAUUUCACUCUGACCAUCAGUGGAGUCCAGACUGAAGAUACAGGAGACUAUUACUGUCAGAGUUUCCAUGUGAUCAACAGUAAAUAUGUGUUCAGACAGUGAUAAAGAGUCAUACAAAAACCUCCGUCAGUCAGAGUCACUGUGACUUCACUGAUACAGCUGA